AUCCUACAAUUCUGGCACAGAGAAUUUAGUAAAAGCUACUAUUAAUAAGUAUUGAAACCAAGAUCAAGUACAAUCAAUAGCAAUGGUGAAAGAUUUCAAACUUAUAACACCUCAUGUCAAUUUAUCUAGAAUAUCAACAAGAGUGUACAUAACUAAAUCGGGAAUCAUUAAGAUUUCAUUUGGUAUCGUCCGAAUACAUAAAUAGGAUUACAAAAUCCAAGAGAUUAAUACUAAAUUGAGCUAACAACUGAAAACAUAAAGAAACUAAAUCUUAUACAAAAUAUAAGAUAACAUGACAUCAGCUCAACUAGCAUAAUCCAAGUAUCUAAACUCCAUGCUUGCAGACCAUGAUAUCUCGAUCAACCUUUUUAUCUGAAAACAAAUAAGUGAGGGAUGAGAGCAGUCACUUCGUCUCAGUGGAUUCCUACUACCCAGUUACUAUUGGUGUCUACACCAGGGGCAACUGAUGAACUAAAAGUUCCUUGAUCCUGAUUGUCAGUCUCUAACAUAAUUUCAUAACAUGAUUUCAUAAACAUAAUAAUAUAAAAGUGUAACACGGAUUAAUUAUCUUGUUCAUUUUAACAUAACUAAGACACUCUAAGGUGAGCCGAUCUCAGAGGCCUGACAUAUCCGUCGUCGAUGAUUAUACGCAUCGACACGGCAUGAAGCUCACAAUCGUAACAUGAUUGGAUUCCUCGAAUCCCAUAACGUGGUACAUAAGUAACCACCAUGAUUGACUGACUUUCUUAACUUAACUUAAUUAUCUUGAUUGUUAUCCUGCCCAUAACUUCCCUCCCUGGGGUAACUAACUUGUCCUGAUUUCCUGAUUAUCAUAACUUAAAGUGUAAUUAACAUUUUAAUUAAGCAUUACACUUAUAAUAUUCACAGAAAAGUAUCUAGGAAGGUAUAGGAUUGAAAAGUAUAAAAUAGUUCCAAAUUCUAAAUCUGCAAAGCUCUGAACUGGUAUUCUCACUUAGCAAGAGUCAGCUCGCUUAAUGAGAAACGGCCAAAAUGUUCCAACAUCCAAACGAGAGAACACUCUCUUAGCGAGCUUAUCAGUUCACAACUCUGUUUUGCAUAAAAUUAUUAUUACAAUCCUUUUCAUUCCUAACCAUGAGUAUCACAGCGUGUAAUAAAUGAUUAAAAUGGAGAGAAG
rnacentral:lncRNA from 1 species